GUAGGCCUCUGUUUUUUUAUUGAAAGAGAUCUUCAGCAUUUUUUGCAGUUCUGCAUGGAUACUCUCCCAGAAUACCUGUAUUUUCCUACAUAUCCACCACAUAUGGUAGAAAGUUCCUGAGUCUCCGCAUCUCCAACAAUUACUUGACACAUUUUUAUACAUUUUUGAAAGUUUCCAUGGUGUUAGAUACCAUCGAUGUUGCAUUUUUUGAAAGUUCUCUCUAAUCAUGUAACAAUUUGUGAAUUUCCAAUUGAUCUUCCAUAAGUUUUCCCAUUGGGCCAUGGUUAUUGAAUGGCCAAAAUUCUGGGACCACCUCACCAUUGCCACUGUUACCUCCUCCUCCUUGACUGUCCAGUCAAGGAGGAGUCGAUAAAUUUUGGAUAGAGUUUUUCUUUUAGAAUUUACAAGAUCAGAUUCGAAUCGGGAAAUUUCUGUUGAGAACCCCUUUUGUUUGUCAGAUUUAAAAUUUUCAAAUAACUGAUGGUAUUGGAACAAGUCUGAGAUGUGUUCUCUUAUUUCCUCAAAGUUUUUAAAUUUUAUUUGGUUAUCUUCAUUUUUUAAAAGUGUUUUAUAUGUUGGCCAGCUUUCCUGAGUAUUUUUCCAUUUUACUGCUAUGGCUUCUAUUGGAGAAGUCCAUCACGGGACCAUAGGCUCCAUCAGGUCUUUAUAUUUUUCCCAUACAGCAAAGAGUGUCUUUCUUAUUAUAUGGUUGGUAAAAUUUUUAUGAAUUUUCGCUUUUCCAUAUAUCAGGUAGGUGUGCCAUCCCCAACGGUUGUCAAAACCUUCCAGGUCCAGGAGGUCCGGAUCCUGCAAUGUGCACCAAUCUUUUAGCCAGGUGAAACAGGCUGCCUCGUAGUAAAGUUUUAGGUCGGGUAGAGAAAAGCUUCCUCUCUCUUUUAUGUCUAUUAAGAUCAGGCAUUUAAUCCUAGGUUUCUUCCCUUCCCACAGGAAUUUGGAAAUUUCUUUUUGCCAUAUCUUGAGACAAUCUGCUUCGCCCAGUAUUGGAAUCAUUUGAAAUAAAAAGAUUAAUUUUGGAAGCACACUCAUCUUUAUAAUGGAAAUCCUACCCAGAAAUGUUAAUUUUAAUUUACUCCAGGUUUCAAAGUUUUUCCUAAUCUCUAACCAAGUUUUGGUGUAAUUAUCCUGAAAUAAGUUUAUGUUCUUGGGGGUGAUCCAAAUACCCAAGUAUUUCGCUUUUGAGGAGAUUUUCAGGCCCAAUAUUUUUUCUAAGUCGUCCUUUUCUUCCAUGGUUACAUUUUUAACAAGCAUUUUUUUUUUUUGUUAUGUUCAGCUUAAAGCCUUCCACUUCUCCAAAUUCUUUAAUCAAUUCCAGCACUCUUUUCAGACUUUCUUUAGGGUUUUCAGUCAUAACAAGUAAAUCGUCUGCAAAAGCUUUAAUUUUGUAUGUUUUGUUUCCCAGAGUGAUGCCUUUAACAAGCUGAUCCUUUCUUAUCUGAUUGUUCAAGACUUCCAUCACCAAGAUAAAUAUCAGUGGUGACAGUGGGCAGCCCUGUCUAGUUCCCUUGUUUAUUUUGCACUCCUCAGUAAUUCUUCCGUUGAUGAUCAAUUUUGCUUAUCAGAUAUCUAAAGGGGACAUUAAAUGUAUGUUUGAAGAUAUCUAGUACACAAGACGAAAAGCUAGAAGUAUUUGUUGAUGUGGACUGCGGAAGCUGUGUAGCUGCCAGAAAAUCUACAAGUGGAAUGGUUAUGAUGUCUGUCAGGACUGGUCGUUGUCCUCUUCAGAUCACCACACAAACGCUUCCUGUUCUUUUAUAACUUUUUAUUGUGUAUUAACAAAAUAAUCUUAUAAACAGUUCUUAACUAUUAUUCCUCAGAGUCACUUAUUUCAGAUACCUUCUGAGCUCUGCUUCUCCGUGACCAGCCACCCUCAAAAUGGCGAAGGCGCCUUUGCCUUCAUUUUCCUGCUCUUUUUUCUAACCUCCUGGCUAGAGCUGGCCUGUAUCUCCCCUCCUCCGAAUCUGAGCUAGAACUUAACCCUUGCCUUUCCUGUGAACAGCCGGUCCCUCCCUGUUGUUCCUCUUGCUCCCUUCUAUUAGAUUCACUGCUCUCCUUCCCCCCUUGGGGAAUGCUUUCUCCCUCUGAUAAACUGAAAACUUCUAACUCUUCCCUGACAAUGUCUGCCAAUUCCAUAAUUGGAUGAAGGUCAAAGAAACAAGGAUUUGUUGCGACCUCAUCCUGUGAGGCAGAAUAUGGGAGCCUGUCACUAGCAUGCAAUGAAAUCAUGUGGUUUAUACAGAUACUAAAAGAUCUAGAUUGUAAAGUAGAUGUUAUGCCUAUGAGGGUUGCCUGCAUUCAGCAUGUAUGUUCUUUCAAUUUUUUCUAUACAUCGAUUAGCUGACUCAGAUGUAAAUGUGAUACUUGCUGGAAUAAUGUUGUUUAAACUGAAAUUUUGUUUGGUUAGUGCUAGCUCCGCUAAAGCACAAAUGAAACUGGUGUGUAUGUGUGUGAUACCUGCAUUUUGCUUUGAGGAUCCUCAGUCACUAGUGUGACUUCCUGCUGUGGAACACUUGUGUAACAUGAAACUCCACAAAACACUUUGUUAGAAAAAGAAUGAUGCGAUAAAGGACAUAAACAGACAAAUUUUGCCUACAACAAUGUCCCUAAAGCUAGUUACAUAAUUUUCCCAUAGCAGUUAGUGAGAUGAAUGAUAUUUGGGUGGAAGGCAAAGUGGAGGAGAAUGGGAACAGUGCGACAUGUGAUGAACAUAGGGCGGAAUGGAAGAUGAUGCCUUCUUACAUCCAUAGGUUCUAUACAUGCCCUUUGAAAAAUGUAGAAAGAAAUGAGCUGAAAUCCAGUAACUCUGCAGUUCUGUCUCAGGAUUCCCCCUCCCCUCCUUGUACAUUUGUCCAGUGGAAAAUAAACAAAACUGGUGGGACAUGGAGGAACACAGAGAUGGGUAUUUCUUGCCAUCAGUCAAUGACAUUGAGCUAGUUUGCAGGUAAUGGUAAGCCAAACCAUGGCUUGGUGUGAAUGUUGGUGUGGGAGGGUUCCUAGAGAGGAGCACAUGGCCUCUAUAUACCUCCCUUUGAUCUCCUACUGAGCUAAGCCAUAGUUUGUCUUUCCCAAGACACUCAAUGAGUUGUAAAUCCAAGAACAAACCUUGGUUCCACAGCUUGUGGUUUGUUUGGAGUGAGGCAGAACAGAACAUACCCGGGAUGUAUAAUUAAUGUUAAGCAAACUAUGGCUUACCUCACAGCAGAGCAGCAACACCGGGACCAGAGAAAGUUCUGUGUCCUCUUUAGCAGGUUGCACAUUCAUUCUGUGUCAUAGUUGAGCUUAGUGUCACAUGUAAGUCAGUUCACUUCUCCAGAAUGCCCAGAGAAUGUGCAAAAUGCAGUUCACUUAUGGACAUGCCCCAAGGCCUGUUGAAAUAUAUUAACUGGGUAAUGUACACAAUUUAUUCUUUAUGGUUGGAUUAUGUUCUCAUUCUUCACAACACCAUGUGAAUCUGCACAAUGGUAAUUUCUUAUGCACAUUAACUGCUCAACUUACAUUCCUCUUAACAUAUAUGUGCUUGUGUGUGUUUGGUUUGAUUGGGAGGUCUUUGCAGAGUUAUAAACAAUGAACUGUUUUUAAAACGGUUAUUUCUCCCUUCUCUUUUAGUCAACACCACCUUUAUGCAAUGUAAAACAGAUGAUUGUUACAACAGCUUUCUGGAGUGGUGGUCAUGAAUGGCUUGCAGACCAAAGGGCAUAUCCCUGCUGCUACCUCAAGUCCCAGACUUAGUUUACCACAAGUAUAUUCCUGAAUGGGAACAUCUGGAUUUCAUUUGGAGCCUUGAUGCCACACAUCACAUGCACAUAGAGAUAAUUGAAUUAAUGCAGAAGUAUCAUUGAGUCUGUGUCAUCUCUGGAGCUCGGAUCCUGAAACAUUCCUUCAAGAAACUAGCACUCUCAGUCUAUGGCGAAGACGAUGACGACUACACACAGGUCCUGCUUUCCAAACACAAUGCAUUCCCAGGAAAUCAUUUGUUAGGCGAGCAUUUGCAUAAUGAACUGAUGAUUUCCAUUAUUUCCUAUGGAAGCAUUUCUAAUCCAUGCUUUCUGCCUCAGACUGCUGCAGCUAAUCAGCAAAAGCCAAACAAAGGAAAAACUGACUUGUCCGAUCUCUGUCCCUCCCUCCUUACUUUUUUCCUGAAAUGGCUGCUACCAACCUGCAAAUCACAAAUAGGUAAAGAACUGGGAAACUCCAGCUGUUUGGAUAUCUGAAUCAGCCAUUUGUGUAGCAAGGUUUGGGUAUUAUUCUUUGUGUUUGGCUAAUUGAGAUUUCAGAUAAUGACCAUUCCAAUAGUGGGUACUUGAAAACAACAACACCAUCACUAUGGAAAGAAGUCCCUGCCAUCUUAAAUACAUAAAAUGUUCUAAGUUGUCUAUGUGUGGUUUAGUAAUCCAUCAGACACUUACAUUUUUACAUUGCUCUUAGGUAUUUAGAUUCAUACAUCUUGGGUGGAAGUAUCGAGACGGUAUUCUCAUCACAGUAGGAAAUGAAGUGCUUUCCACUAAACUUGUAUAGUAAUAUAUAUCUGAAAGUAAAUCUGAUAUCCCCAAACUCUGUUAUGGAGAAUGGGAUGGAGACAAGUUCUUAUUAUAGUGGUACCUCAGGUUAAGCACUUAAUUCGUUCUGGAGGUCUGUACUUAACCUGAAACUGUUCUUAACCUGAAGCACCACUUUAGCUAAUGGGGCCUCCUGCUGCUGCCACGCCGCUGGAGCACGAUUUCUGUUCUCAUCCUGAAGCAAAGUUCUUAAUCUGAAGCACUAUUUCUGGGUUAGCGGAGUCUGUAACCUGAAGCGUAUGUAACCUGAAGCGUAUGUAACCCGAGGUACCACUGUAACUUGAAAGCUAUUUUUAGGAAGCUUUUUAAAACCAAGAUGUUGUGUGAUAGUCAACUUAAGUUUUACUCAGAGUAGUCCCAUUGACAAUAAUGAACACAACCAUAUUGGGGGCCACCCCACUUCCCAUAACAGAGUUAGCAAGACCAGUUUUUCGCAGUGCUCCAAAGCAGUAAACCUGCAUCUUGAAAGCAACAUGGUUUGUCACACUUAUUUAAACACCUUAGGACUAAGCAGAAUUCACUUGGAAAUGAUUUUUUGAAACUUUCAUUUAUGUAAGUCCCUAGUUGCUGGAAUGCAAGCUUUGAGUGUGCAUUAGAAUGCUGUCCUUGGUAGACCAUAGCUCAGUGGUAGAGCACCUGCAUCAUACCCAGGAGGCUUCAUGUUCUACCUGUAGCAGUUCCAAGUAGGCUUUGGAAAGAGCCCUUUCUGAAACCCUGAAUAACUGCUGCAAAUCAGUGUAGGCCAGCAGUGGGGAAGUGAAUCAGGUCAACAGGCUGGAGCCUUAUCUCACACAGCUGUCACUCUCCUGGUGUCACAAUGAUGUCAGGUGAUUCAUUUUUGCCUGUGUGUCCAAAGCUCUGUGUGUGACACUAUGCCAGGGGUCAGCAAACUUUUUCAGCAGGGGGGGCGGUCCACUGUCCCUCAGACCUUGUGGGGGGCCAGACUAUAUAUAUAUAUUUUUGGGGGGGGGAGACUCAAGAGUACCACGAGCCCCGGUGGCUGCUUACCUGUGUCUUAUGAGUGGCAGGGGCUGGUGGCGGUGGCGGGGGGACGAUGAGCGGUGUGCAAAAGGGCUCCAGAGAGGGGCUGCUUAAAAUGGCUGCUCUAGAGCUGCUGCUGGCGGCACCAACAAAGCCCAGCCCCCUUCCUCCUCUAGGCAGGGCGGGGAGAAGCCAGGAGGAGGGAGGGAGAAGGCGCCACUGCCACCGCCAUGUGAGGGAGAGGGAGGGAAAGGGAAAGAAUGCACACGUUGGCAAUCCAUGCGGUGAUUCCCAGACCAUCCGCGGGCCGGAUCCAGAAGGCAAUUAGGCCUUAGUUUGCCGACCCAUGCACUAUGCAAAUCCUGACAACCAGCUGAGUGUGAGGGCUUCCAAAGAGCUGUGGACAGGGCUCUGCAGGUGUUACUGACUGGCUGAUUGGCAGAGUCUGCAACUACCUUUGGUCUAGUCCUGUCUUUACUUUCCCCACACUUGAGGCAUAUGGCAGGCUUUGCCAGCCCAGCCCGACAGGUCAAAUAGAGAUAAUUGGUAAGUCUUAUUAGGCAUGAAGGCUUGAGACUCCCCACUGCUGAUAUAGACAGUAUGGAGCUAGGUGGACUAAUGUGCUGACUCUUACAAUCCAAAUCUCAGUGAGAAUUCCCUAAGUGCUACCUUGAUAUAUCUGACCCUGUGCACAUCUUGGGGCUUUUACUAUAUUAGAGGACUGGUCUCUAAUUUGAGAUGGUGUGAAUAGUUUUCCUUCAGAUGUUUCCCAGAACUAACUUACGAGAACCAGCUUUCUGUAACUUCACAAAUCUAUACAUGUUUACUUUGCAACUUGUUCUCUGUUCUUUUAAAACAUACCUGUUUUUUCCCUGCAUUGAUAAACUGAGGUGCAGUGUAUAGACCAGCUGACUGCCAAAGAUGCUCUAUCAAUUGUAUUGUACCUAUGCUCUGAUUUUCUCAUUUUUACAACUAUUGCACUAAAAUGAAAUUCACAGCUGGAAAUGGAGAACAUGCAAGUUAGAAUGUUUCAUAAUGCAUAAUUAAAACAACACUUUAAAACCA
rnacentral:lncRNA from 1 species